rnacentral:misc_RNA from 1 species
AAGAAACUAACUUAUAAUGAUCUGGUCAGACAAAUGGAUACAUUUGGCAAUACAUUCGUUUAACAACAUACAUAUGCAACCAAUUCUCUUUUCUUUUAAGAAAGAGAAGCCUAACUCCUUCCUAAAAUGUCAGUUAAUCACCUAAUCAUAAUCAAUCAUCCUGUUUCCUCUUCUUUAAUCCUUCAUUAAUGAAACGUUCAAUCUUCUCUUUGCCUGUCUUUCUCCUUCAUGCACUUCUUUUGUUUCUUCUACCAAUGAUGAUAGAAAGCGACAAUUUGAUA